UACGGAGGGUGCGAGCGUUGUCCGGAAUCACUGGGCGUAAAGGGCGCGUAGGCGGCCUGAUAAGUAGGGGGUGAAAUCCUGCGGCUUAACCGCAGGGCUGCCUUCUAAACUGUCAGGCUCGAGCACAGUAGAGGCAGGUGGAAUUCCCGGUGUAGCGGUGGAAUGCGUAGAGAUCGGGAAGAACACCGGUGGCGAAGGCGGCCUGCUGGGCAGUGGCUGACACUGAGGCGCGACAGCGUGGGGAGCAAACAGG
rnacentral:rRNA from 1 species